CUCUCUCUCCUCUCUCUCUCUCUUCUAUAUAUUAUAUAGUAUAUUAUAUUUAUAUAUAUAUAUAAUAUAUAUACUAUAUAGAGACUUAUAUAAUGUCUAGAUUAUCUCUAUGCCUGUAUAUGUUUUCUGUAUAAAAUGGAAAUAUAUUGCUUUGUAACAUACUUUUCUUUUAUCACAAUUUUUGGGAGCUCAUGGUACAGUGCUUACCUACAUUUGUAAAGCUGUGUGUCUGGAAUCUCUGGUCUUGGUAAGUGGAGGUAGGAGGAUCAAAGAACAAGGUGAUCUUUUGCUCUGAAGAAAUGGAGGCCAUCGUGACAUAACUUAAGACACUGUCUGAAAGGAAAAAAUGAAAUAAAAUUAAACUUUCUUGAUCCCUUUGCUCAUGACUGCUCCCUCUCUACAACUGGAUUCCAGGAACUUGGCUCAGUGCUUACCUGUGCUGGUACAGCCUUGCAAACAUGGUGAAUAUUCUUAAGAGCUGCCAGACUUUCUACAAACAUUUUAAACACCAGCCCGACAAAGUGACACAGCACAACAAGAAUUGAUUAGAAUCCUCGGUCUGUUGAGGUGCCAGGAGGCUUUCCCUAUAAUAAAAUGGAACCUCCUGAAACUGAGAAGCUUCUGUAAUUCAAAGGACACAGACAGCAAGACAAAACAGCAUUCCACAGAAAGGGAAAAGAUCUUCACCAACUCCACAUCUGAUAGAGGGAUGAUUUCCAAAAUAUCCAAAUAACUCAAGAAACUAGACAUCAAACU
rnacentral:lncRNA from 1 species